rnacentral:rRNA from 1 species
AAAAACUCCGGUGGUGUAAGAUGGAUCCGCGUCUGAUUAGCUGGUUGGCGGGGUAGAAGCCCACCAAGGCGACGAUCAGUAGCCGGCCUGAGAGGGUGAACGGCCACAUUGGGACUGAGACACGGCCCAAACUCCUACGGGAGGCAGCAGUGGGGAAUAUUGCACAAUGGGGGAAACCCUGAUGCAGCAACGCCGCGUGAGUGAAGAAGUCAUUCGUGAUGUAAAGCUCUAUCAGCAGGGAAGAAAAUGACGGUACCUGAGUAAGAAGCCCCGGCUAACUACGUGCCAGCAGCCGCGGUAACACGUAGGGGGCAAGCGUUAUCCGGAUUUACUGGGUGUAAAGGGAGCGUAGACGGCCAGACAAGUCUGAAGUGAAAAUCCAGCGCUUAACGUUGGAAGUGCUUUGGAAACUGCCGGGCUAGAGUGCAGGAGGGGCAGGCGGAAUUCCUAGUGUAGCGGUGAAAUGCGUAGAUAUUAGGAGGAACACCAGUGGCGAAGGCGGCCUGCUGGACUGCAACUGACGUUGAGGCUCGAAGGCGUGGGGAGCAAACAGGAUUAGAUACCCUGGUAGUCCACGCGGUAAACGAUGAUUACUAGGUGUCGGGGGGCUAGAGCCCUUCG